GGUGCUAUAGUGUAGUGGUUAUCACCCGGGAUUCUGAUCCGUCAUCUUCACAGUCUUUCCCGGAACCCAGGUUCGAACCCUGGUAGCACCU